rnacentral:snoRNA from 1 species
UCGCAUGAUGACAACACUACAUUAGUUUAUAAUUUUAUUUCUGGUACCUCUUAUGUCAGUUGCUCUCAUCCAUGGUUUGUCCUACCGGUCGAACAUGUUUGUUGGUGACGAUGAUCUAACUGGACUUCUGAUC